GUGCAGAUCUUGGUGGUAGUAGCAUUUAUUCAAAUGGGAACUUUGAAGACCAAAGUGGAGAAGGGUUCCAUGUGAACAGCAGUUGGACAUGGGUUAGCCGACCCUAAGGAACAGGAUAUUCUGCACACAAAGGCUUUGCCUUGUCUUGCGAAAGGCAGUGGGGUUAAUAUUCCCCAGCCGGGACGUGGAUAGUGUAUGGUGACAUAAGAGAAUUUGGCGGUGCAUUUGCGCACCUCGGGAAGCGUUGUCUUUUCUUUUUAACUCCCUUUUUACCCUGAAAUCAGUUUGCCUGGAGAUAGGGUUCAUUGGUAGGUAAAGCACCUUUUCUUUUGAGGUGCUCGAUGUGUGCGCAACUGUCCUUGAAAAGCCAAAGAAAAGAUUUAUUCACACCCCUGGUCGUACCCAUAACCGCAGCAGGUCUCCAAGGUUAGCAGCCUCUGGCCUAUAGAGCAAAGUAGGUAAGGGAAGUCGGCAAAACAGAUCCGUAUCUUUGGGAAAAGGAUUGGCUCUGAGGG
rnacentral:rRNA from 1 species